GUGGGUUUGUAAGUCGGGCGUGAAAUCCCUCGGCUUAACCGAGGAACUGCGUCCGAAACUGCAUGGCUUGAGGACGGAAGGGGAAGGUGGAAUUCCUGGUGGAGCGGUGAAAUGCGUAGAUAUCAGGAGGAACGCCGGUGGCGAAAGCGGCCUUCUGGUCCGUUUCUGACGCUGAGGUGCGAAAGCUAGGGGAGCAGACAGGAUUAGAUACCCUGGUAGUCCUAGCCGUAAACGAUGGGCACUAAGUAGAGGGG
rnacentral:rRNA from 1 species